UACGGAGGGUGCGAGCGUUGUCCGGAAUCACGUGGGCGUAAAGGGCGCGUAGGCGGCCUGAUAAGUAGGGGGUGAAAUCCUGCGGCUUAACCGCAGGGCUGCCUUCUAAACUGUCAGGCUGGAGCACAGUAGAGGCAGGUGGAAUUCCCGGUGUAGCGGAUGGAAUGCGUAGAGAUCGGGAAGAACAUCAGUGGCGAAGGCGGCCUGCUGGGCUGUUGCUGACGCUGAGGCGCGACGCGUGGGGAGCAAACAGG
rnacentral:rRNA from 1 species